rnacentral:rRNA from 1 species
UGCCAGCCGCCGCGGUAAUACGGAGGGUGCAAGCGUUGCUCGGAAUUACUGGGCGUAAAGCGUACGCAGGCGGCUUGUUAUGUCGGGUGUGAAAGCCCCGGGCUCAACCCGGGAACUGCACUCGAAACUGACAGGCUAGAGUAUGGGAGAGGGAAGUGGAAUUCCUGGUGUAGAGGUGAAAUUCGUUGAUAUCAGGAGGAACAUCGGCGGCGAAGGCGGCUUCCUGGCCCAUUACUGACGCUCAUGUACGAAAGCGUGGGGAGCAAACAGGAUUAGAUA